CCUGGAACGGGAGACAUUACAAGCAUGGCUGCUAUGCUGUGUUUGUGUCAUUAGGUAGCAGAGAGAAAUGGGCUGUGUCUAUGCUGUGCUCGGAAAUGUAGACCUGUGGGCACUUAGAAUGACUGAUAGCCUGACAAA